CAACCCUCAAGCCCCCGGGCUUGGUGUUGGAGAUCGGCCCGCCCCCGUGGCUGGCCGGCUCCGAAAUCCAGUGGCGGUCCCGCCGUAGCUUCCUCUGCGUAGUAGCAAUAUCUCGCACCGGAGCGCGACGGAGCCCUGCCGUAAAACCCCCAACUUCUGAAGG
rnacentral:misc_RNA from 1 species